rnacentral:rRNA from 1 species
CGGACGGGUGAGUAACACGUGGAUAACCUACCUAUAAGACUGGGAUAACUUCGGGAAACCGGAGCUAAUACCGGAUAAUAUAUUGAACCGCAUGGUUCAAUAGUGAAAGACGGUUUUGCUGUCACUUAUAGAUGGAUCCGCGCCGCAUUAGCUAGUUGGUAAGGUAACGGCUUACCAAGGCAACGAUGCGUAGCCGACCUGAGAGGGUGAUCGGCCACACUGGAACUGAGCACGGUCCAG